GGUUAAGCGACUAAGCGUACACGGUGGAUGCCCUGGCAGUCAGAGGCGAUGAAGGACGUGCUAAUCUGCGAAAAGCGUCGGUAAGGUGAUAUGAACCGUUACAGCCGGCGAUGUCCGAAUGGGGAAACCCAGUGCAAUUCGUUGCACUAUCGUUUGAUGAAUACAUAGUCAAACGAGGCGAACCGGGGGAACUGAAACAUCUAAGUACCCCGAGGAAAAGAAAUCAACCGAGAUUCCCCCAGUAGCGGCGAGCGAACGGGGAGCAGCCCGGAGUCUGAAUCAGCUUGUGUGUUAGUGGAAGCGUCUGGAAAGUCGCAGGGUACAGGGUGAUACUCCCGUACACUAAAACACACAGGCUGUGAACUCGAAGAGUAGGGCGGGACACGUGGUAUCCUGUCUGAAUAUGGGGGGACCAUCCUCCAAGGCUAAAUACUCCUGACUGACCGAUAGUGAACCAGUACCGUGAGGGAAAGGCGAAAAGAACCCCGGCGAGGGGAGUGAAAAAGAACCUGAAACCGUGUACGUACAAGCAGUAGGAGCCCACUUGUUGGGUGACUGCGUACCUUUUGUAUAAUGGGUCAGCGACUUAUAUUCUGUAGCAAGGUUAACCGUAUAGGGGAGCCGCAGGGAAACCGAGUCUUAACUGGGCGUUAAGUUGCAGGGUAUAGACCCGAAACCCGGUGAUCUAGCCAUGGGCAGGUUGAAGGUUGGGUAACACUAACUGGAGGACCGAACCGACUAAUGUUGAAAAAUUAGCGGAUGACUUGUGGCUGGGGGUGAAAGGCCAAUCAAACCGGGAGAUAGCUGGUUCUCCCCGAAAGCUAUUUAGGUAGCGCCUCGUGAAUUCAUCUUCGGGGGUAGAGCACUGUUUCGGCUAGGGGGUCAUCCCGACUUACCAACCCGAUGCAAACUACGAAUACCGAAGAAUGUUAUCACGGGAGACACACGGCGGGUGCUAACGUCCGUCGUGAAGAGGGAAACAACCCAGACCGCCAGCUAAGGUCCCAAAGUCAUGGUUAAGUGGGAAACGAUGUGGGAAGGCCCAGACAGCCAGGAUGUUGGCUUAGAAGCAGCCAUCAUUUAAAGAAAGCGUAAUAGCUCACUGGUCGAGUCGGCCUGCGCGGAAGAUGUAACGGGGCUAAACCAUGCACCGAAGCUGCGGCAGCGACACUAUGUGUUGUUGGGUAGGGGAGCGUUCUGUAAGCCGUUGAAGGUGGCCUGUGAAGGUUGCUGGAGGUAUCAGAAGUGCGAAUGCUGACAUAAGUAACGAUAAUGCGGGUGAAAAACCCGCACGCCGGAAGACCAAGGGUUCCUGUCCAACGUUAAUCGGGGCAGGGUGAGUCGACCCCUAAGGCGAGGCCGAAAGGCGUAGUCGAUGGGAAACAGGUUAAUAUUCCUGUACUUGGUGUUACUGCGAAGGGGGGACGGAGAAGGCUAUGUUGGCCGGGCGACGGUUGUCCCGGUUUAAGCGUGUAGGUGUGUGUUCCAGGUAAAUCCGGUUCACUUUAACACUGAGGCGUGAUGACGAGGCACUACGGUGCUGAAGUGACAAAUGCCCUGCUUCCAGGAAAAGCCUCUAAGCAUCAGGUAACAUCAAAUCGUACCCCAAACCGACACAGGUGGUCAGGUAGAGAAUACCAAGGCGCUUGAGAGAACUCGGGUGAAGGAACUAGGCAAAAUGGUGCCGUAACUUCGGGAGAAGGCACGCUGAUAUGUAGGUGAAGUGGUUUACCCAUGGAGCUGAAAUCAGUCGAAGAUACCAGCUGGCUGCAACUGUUUAUUAAAAACACAGCACUGUGCAAACACGAAAGUGGACGUAUACGGUGUGACGCCUGCCCGGUGCCGGAAGGUUAAUUGAUGGGGUUAUCCGUAAGGAGAAGCUCUUGAUCGAAGCCCCGGUAAACGGCGGCCGUAACUAUAACGGUCCUAAGGUAGCGAAAUUCCUUGUCGGGUAAGUUCCGACCUGCACGAAUGGCGUAAUGAUGGCCAGGCUGUCUCCACCCGAGACUCAGUGAAAUUGAACUCGCUGUGAAGAUGCAGUGUACCCGCGGCAAGACGGAAAGACCCCGUGAACCUUUACUAUAGCUUGACACUGAACACUGGUCCUUGAUGUGUAGGAUAGGUGGGAGGCUUUGAAGCGUGGACGCCAGUCUGCGUGGAGCCAUCCUUGAAAUACCACCCUUUAAUGGCUGGUGUUCUAACGUGGGCCCCUAAUCGGGGUUGCGGACAGUGUCUGGUGGGUAGUUUGACUGGGGCGGUCUCCUCCUAAAGAGUAACGGAGGAGCACGAAGGUCAGCUAAUCCUGGUCGGACAUCAGGAGGUUAGUGCAAUGGCAUAAGCUGGCUUGACUGCGAGCGUGACGGCGCGAGCAGGUGCGAAAGCAGGUCAUAGUGAUCCGGUGGUUCUGAAUGGAAGGGCCAUCGCUCAACGGAUAAAAGGUACUCCGGGGAUAACAGGCUGAUACCGCCCAAGAGUUCAUAUCGACGGCGGUGUUUGGCACCUCGAUGUCGGCUCAUCACAUCCUGGGGCUGAAGUAGGUCCCAAGGGUAUGGCUGUUCGCCAUUUAAAGUGGUACGCGAGCUGGGUUUAGAACGUCGUGAGACAGUUCGGUCCCUAUCUGCCGUGGGCGCUGGAGAAUUGAGGGGGGCUGCUCCUAGUACGAGAGGACCGGAGUGGACGCAUCACUGGUGUUCGGGUUGUCAUGCCAAUGGCAUUGCCCGGUAGCUAAAUGCGGAAGAGAUAAGUGCUGAAAGCAUCUAAGUACGAAACUUGCCCCGAGAUGAGUUCUCCCUGACCCUUUAAGGGUCCUGAAGGAACGUUGAAGACGACGACGUUGAUAGGCCGGGUGUGUAAGCGCAGCGAUGCGUUGAGCUAACCGGUACUAAUGAACCGUGAGGCUUAACCUU
rnacentral:rRNA from 1 species